AUUGAACGCUGGCGGCAUGCCUUACACAUGCAAGUCGAACGGCAGCACGGGAGCAAUCCUGGUGGCGAGUGGCGAACGGGUGAGUAAUAUAUCGGAACGUGCCCAGUCGUGGGGAUAACGUAGCGAAAGCUACGCUAAUACCGCAUACGAUCUACGGAUGAAAGCGGGGGAUCGCAAGACCUCGCGCGAUUGGAGCGGCCGAUAUCAGAUUAGGUAGUUGGUGAGGUAAAGGCUCACCAAGCCGACGAUCUGUAGCUGGUCUGAGAGGACGACCAGCCACACUGGGACUGAGACACGGCCCAGACUCCUACGGGAGGCAGCAGUGGGGAAUUUUGGGACAAUGGGCGCAAGCCUGAUCCAGCAAUGCCGCGUGCAGGAUGAAGGCCUCGG
rnacentral:rRNA from 1 species